AGUUCACUCACGCGUUUGAAGGUGAAACGUCACAUGGAGCGCGUUGCGUUCUGGGAAACAGUAUACCAUGCAGCGUCUUCAGAUGCAUACAUCAAAUUUCAGCAAAUGUAGCAGAAGAAAAAAAACACAGCAAGAUGGGAGGCUCCAAGAUUUCACAAUUUCUGAAGGGAGCCGAAGACGGAGAAGUAAGGAACACAAGUGAACAGGAUCUUACGCCAUCAGAAGCGCCGUUAUGCGCUCGCUUCAGAUGACAGUCAGCACGAGAAGCGAGCGGAGAAAAGGGAGGAACUUGUCAACAAAUCUACCUCACAGCGCAUCAAUGAAAGCAGUUUGACAAUUACAGACGGGUGUGUUGGAUCAGGGUUAGAUCUGAAUUCUGCAGUUGAAGACAUCAGUACAUCAGGUGUUGGCCUGGACAGCUGUAUCUACAGUACUCCACACUGACCUCUCUGCUUUUGCAUAGAUGGCUGACUACUACCAUGUUCUAUAGUAUUAUUGGUAUUAUGUUCUAAGGUAUUAUUAUAGUAAAACUGAGCACUUGUGACAGUGGAAUUUGUAGUUGUAAAGAAUAGACACAUGCGUAUUACAGGUAGUAAAUUUAAAGUCACAGUUUUUUUUUUUUUUAGGAGUUACAAAUGUUUUUUUUUUUACUCUUUCUCUCUAACAAACACAACACAACAGUUACAUCAUUUAAAAUUCUGAGGUGCACAACUCAUAUUCUACAAAUAGCAAAUUAAGAAACUCAUGUGAAUGUGGGGCAAAACACAUUCACACACCCAAAAAAUGUGAAGUCAUAAACAAAUUUUGCACAUUUGCAUAUAUAUACAGUCAUAGUCAGAAUUAUUGACACCCUUGGUAAAUAUGAACAAAGAAGCCUGUGAAAAUAAAUCUGCAUUGUCAAUCCUUUUUGAUAAAAGAUCAAAAAGGGGUAGGGGGAAGCUCAUUAGGAGUAUUUUUUUUCUCUCUAAUACACAUUGGCCACAGUUAAUGACACCCUUUUAUUCAGUACUUUUUGCAAUCUCCUUUUGCCACAAUAACAGCUCUGAGUCUCUCCUAUAAUACUUGGUGAGUUUGAAGCUCACCUGACAGGAGAUCUUUGGAGAGUCGUUGGCCACUCAGACUAUCCUCCUCACCUUGUAUAUAGACAAUAUAGACACACAUCCUCUUGCA